UACCAGCUCUCCGAGCGGUGUGGAUGUUUAUUGGGCCUAAAGCAUCCGUAGCUGGCUAGGUCAGUCCCUUGUUAAAUCCACCGAAUUAAUCGUUGGAUUGCGGGGGAUACUGCUUGGCUAGGGGACGAGAGAGGCAGACGGUAUUUUCGGGGUAGGGGUGAAAUCCUAUAAUCCCGGGAAGACCACCAGUGGCGAAGGCUGUCUGCUAGAACGCGCCCGACGGUGAGGGAUGAAAGCUGGGGGAGCGAACCGG
rnacentral:rRNA from 1 species